CCUACGGGGGGCAGCAGUGGGGGAUAUUGGUCAAUGGCCGGAAGGCUGAACCAGCCAUGCCGCGUGAAGGUCAGUGCCCUAUGGGCGUUAAACUUCUUUUGUGCGGGAGCAAUAAUGGUCACGUGUGGCCAGACGAGAGUACCGUACGAAUAAGCAUCGGCUAACUCCGUGCCAGCAGCCGCGGUAAUACGGGGGAUGCAAGCGUUAUCCGGAUUUAUUGGGUUUAAAGGGUGCGUAGGCUGUGAGGUAAGUCAGCGGUGAAAUGCCCCCGCUCAACGGGGUGAAGUGCCAUUGAUACUGCCUUGCUGGAAUGCGGAUGCCGUGGGAGGAAUGUGUGGUGUAGCGGUGAAAGACAUAGAUAUCACACAGAACACCGAUUGCGAAGGCAUCUCACGAAUCCGCGAUUGACGCUGAUGCACGAAAGCGUGGGUAUCAAACAGGAUUAGAUACCCGUGUAGUC
rnacentral:rRNA from 1 species